rnacentral:rRNA from 1 species
UACGUAGGGGGCGAGCGUUGUCCGGAUUUAUUGGGCGUAAAGAGCUCGUAGGCGGCUUGGCAAGUCGGGUGUGAAACCUCCAGGCUCAACCUGGAGACGCCACUCGAUACUGCUAUGGCUAGAGUCCGGUAGGGGACCACGGAAUUCCUGGUGUAGCGGUGAAGUGCGCAGAUAUCAGGAGGAACACCGGUGGCGAAGGCGGUGGUCUGGGCCGGCACUGACGCUGAGGAGCGAAAGCGUGGGUAGCAAACAGG